CCUACGGGCGGCAGCAGUGGGGAAUAUUGCACAAUGGGCGCAAGCCUGAUGCAGCCAUGCCGCGUGUGUGAAGAAGGCCUUCGGGUUGUAAAGCACUUUCAGCGGGGAGGAAGGCGGUGAGGUUAAUAACCUCAUCGAUUGACGUUACCCGCAGAAGAAGCACCGGCUAACUCCGUGCCAGCAGCCGCGGUAAUACGGAGGGUGCAAGCGUUAAUCGGAAUUACUGGGCGUGAAGCGCACGCAGGCGGUCUGUCAAGUCGGAUGUGAAAUCCCCGGGCUCAACCUGGGAACUGCAUUCGAAACUGGCAGGCUAGAGUCUUGUAGAGGGGGGUAGAAUUCCAGGUGUAGCGGUGAAAUGCGUAGAGAUCUGGAGGAAUACCGGUGGCGAAGGCGGCCCCCUGGACAAAGACUGACGCUCAGGUGCGAAAGCGUGGGGAGCAAACAGGAUUAGAUACCCGAGUAGUC
rnacentral:rRNA from 1 species